rnacentral:rRNA from 1 species
GAUGAACGCUGGCGGCGUGCUUAACACAUGCAAGUCGAACGGAAAGGCCCAAGCUUGCUUGGGUACUCGAGUGGCGAACGGGUGAGUAACACGUGGGUGAUCUGCCCUGCACUUCGGGAUAAGCCUGGGAAACUGGGUCUAAUACCGGAUAGGACGAUGGUUUGGAUGCCAUUGUGGAAAGUUUUUUCGGUGUGGGAUGAGCUCGCGGCCUAUCAGCUUGUUGGUGGGGUAAUGGCCUAGCAAGGCGUCGACGGGUAGCCGGCCUGAGAGGGUGUACGGCCACAUUGGGACUGAGAUACGGCCCAGACUCCUACGGGAGGCAGCAGUGGGGAAUAUUGCACAAUGGGCGCAAGCCUGAUGCAGCGACGCCGCGGGGGGGAUGACGGCCUUCGGGUUGUAAACUCCUUUCGCUAGGGACGAAGCGUUUUGUGACGGUACCUGGAGAAGAAGCACCGGCUAACUACGUG